rnacentral:rRNA from 1 species
AGUGUGAUAAGGGAACCCUAAGUGCUUAGCUUAGCUAGGCUUUUGCCAAGUGUAAAUAGCUUGGAGAAUAAGUGGUGGGUAAGACUGGUGCCAGCCGCCGCGGUAACACCAGCGCCACGAGUGGGAAUCGGUUUUAUUGGGCCUAAAGCGUCCGUAGCCUGUUUGGUAAAUCUCUUGUGAAACUAUUGGGCUUAACUCAAUAACGUGCAGGAGACACUGCCAGACUAGGAACCGGGAGAGGUCAGAAGUAUGUGAAGGGGAGCGGUAAAAUGCUAUAAUCCUUUGUAGACUACCUGUGGCGAAGGCGUCUGACCAGAACGGAUUCGACGGUGAGGGACGAAAGCUAGGGGAGCGAUCCGGAUUAGAUAUCAAAAAUUCUGCGAAUUUUUGGACUUCACUCGCUAACGCGAUUGAAGUAUCGAAAUCAUUAUGAGCGCAAAACUACUAUUAAUGAUUUCAUUGACAUGAGAAUUUUUGACUAAGUACCCGAGUAGUCCUAGCUGUAAACUCUGCGAGCAAGGUGUUGCGUAUUCUACGUGAAUGCGCAGUGUCGAUGAGAAGUCGUUUAGCUCGCCGC